UUUAUAUUGCAGAUAUAUUAUUUCUUUAUACAUAUUUACAUUGUAUGAGUAAUAAUUAAGUACCGCUUGUAAUUAACUUAAAAGACUAAGACAAUAGAGAUAUCCUGUAUGAAGUAGUUAAAAGUUCUGCCCAAUCUAUUAAUGCCUUCAUCAAUUUCAAGUCUCACUACUUAAUUACCUUUCUCAUUAUCUCAUCUCAUAACUACAUUUUUAUGUUAUCUGAUGACAUUGACAAGGUUUAACCUUUUAGGACUAAAAAUAACUUAAUCAAGAUGUGGUUAGCUCAUUUUGUUAACUCUUGAUUUAAUGGAUGAGAAAAACUUCCUUCCAAUUGAGAUUAUGUGCAAAAAAUUUUAUUCUCUUAUUGAAAGAUUCUAUGUAUAGAUUAAACUUUGAAGAUAUGUUUUUGCAUUGGAAAUAUUUUUUUGGAGCAGUUUUAGCAAUCAUCUGGUCAUUGGUUAUUGAUUACUAGAUUCAAUCCUAAUAAAUCUACUUGAAACUCUUUAACAGCAAAAAUAUCACCACACUUUGUUAAAGAUAUAAGAAAAAAGAUUAAAAGAUAUGGAAAAAAAUGCAGAGCCUGAAACUAUUGAUUCCCUUACAUAUACAGAGGAAAAUACAGAAGAGAAAUCACAUGAUUUAUGUGGGGAAUUAUUAACAAAAAAGGAUUUAAUGCGGCAUCAGUCAAUUCACUCAGUCUCAAAGCUGUAUAACUGUGAAGUUUGUGGAAAGACAUUUACAAGCAGUACUUUGUUGACUAGCCACAAAGAUAUCCACAAUGGAGAAAAAUUAUACCAAUGUUACAUGUGUGAUGAAAAGUUUUCAACAAAGGACAAUUUGUCAUCUCACACAUGUAUUCAAACAGCAGAAAGACCAUACUGUUGUGAUAUCUGUGGUAAAACAUUUUGUAGAAGUGGUCAGUUGUCUUCCCAUAAAUAUAUUCAUUCAAGGGAGAGACCAUACCAUUGUGAUAUCUGUGGUCAGACAUUUUCUAGAAGUGGUCAUUUGAUUAACCACAAACGCAUUCACACAGACGAAAGGCCAUACAACUGUGAUAUUUGUGGUAAAAAAUUUUCUAGAAUUAGUGAAUUAUCUUCCCACAAACGUAUUCACUUGGGUGAAAGACAAUAUCGCUGUCAUAUCUGUGAUAAAAUAUUUUCUAAAAGUACUGAUUUGUCUUCUCAUAAACAUAUUCACUCAGGAGGACGAAUAUACCACUGUGAUAUCUGUGAUACAACAUUCUCUCAAGGCGGCAAUUUAUCUCGACAUCAGCGCAUUCAUACAGGUGAGAAACCAUACCAGUGUGAUAUUUGCAAGAAAAAGUUUUCCUCGAAUGAUUAUUUGUCUGCCCACAAACGUACUCACACUGGUGAAAGACCCUACCAUUGUGAUAUCUGUGGCAAAACAUUCACUCAAAGUGGAUGUUUAUCUCAACACAAGCAUAUUCAUACAAGAGAAAGACAGUUCCAUUGUGAUAUUUGUGGUAAAAUGUUUUCUACGGAUCAUAAUUUAAAUCGACACAAAUGUAUUCGUACAGAAGAGAAAGCAUACCACUGUGAUAUCUGUGAUGAAACAUUUUCGACUAGGGGUCGUUUAUCUUCCCACAUACGUAUUCAUACAGGAGAAAGACCAUCAUAACUUUGAGAUUUCUGUUGUAAAGCAUUUUGACACAAAUAUAUUUACUGGAGAGAAAGAGAGACCAUACCGUUGUGAUAUCCUCUGUGAAACAUUUUCUGGAAGUGGUAGCUUUUACUCAGUAUAUAUAUAUAUAUAUAUAUAUAAUAAUAAUAAAUGUAUUUCUUUAACACACCACUAUCAUAACAGUAUUUUUAUAUUCUUUAUUUCAUACUGGCAAUUUAAUUUUGUCUGCAUUACAUUCAUUACAUACACUGUUUGACCAGUUUUGCAGUUAUUGUGGGGUACAUAUGUAUCUUUGGUGCCUUGGAUCAAGUGGAGGAUUAAAUGAUUUUUGAAUGUUUUUAGACCAAACUAUUGUGACCUGUAGUCAUCUGUGUCUUUAUGCCAAGAUGCACUUCAUUGUGUCUUUUGCCUUUACAUAUAUGUUUUGGCUGUUUCUAGUUAUUCCAAUAAUCUUUAUGUUAAUACUUCAUUGUCCCUAAUGUAUGAUGUUGCAUUUCUAUUUCAGGUUAUCUGAUGACAUUGAAAUAAAAAUAUUUCACUGAUGAGAAUCAACCUUUUAAGAAUAGAAAUAACUUAAUCAAUCUGAAGUCAGCCCAUUUUGGCAACGCUUGAUUUAAUGGAUGAGAAAAACUUGCUUGCAAUUUAGAUUGUGCAAAAAUUUUUACUCUGUUAUUUAUUGAAAGAUUCUAUGUACAGAUUAAACUUUGAAGAUAUGUCUUGUGCACCGGAUAUAUUUCUUUAAGUGGAGCAGAUUUAGCAAUCUUUUGGUCAUUGGAUAUUGGUUACUAGAUUCAAUCCUAAUAAAUCUACUUGAGAUUCUUUAACAGCAAAAAUAUCAUCACAUUUUGUUAAAGAUAUAAGAAAAAAGAUUAAAAGAUAUGGAAAAAAAUGCAGAGCCUGAAACUAUUGAUUCCCCUACUCAUCACACAGAGGAAAAUACAGAAGAGAAAUUGCAUUCAUGUGAUUCACGUGAGGAAUUAUUCACAAGAAAGGAUUUAAUUCAGCAUCAGUCAAUUCACUCAGUCUCAAAGCUGUAUAACUGUGAAGUUUGUGGAAAGACAUUUACAAGCAGUACUUUGUUGACUAGCCACAAAGAUAUCCACAAUGGAGAAAAAUUAUACCAAUGUUACAUGUGUGAUGAAAAGUUUUCAACAAAGGACAAUUUGUCAUCUCACACAUGUAUUCAAACGGCAGAAAGACCAUACCGCUGUGAUAUCUGUGGUAAAACAUUUUGUAGAAGUGGUCAGUUAUCUUCCCAUAAAUUUAUUCAUUCUGGAGAGAGACCAUACCAUUGUGAUAUCUGUGGUCAAACAUUUUGUAGAAGUGGUCAAUUGUCUUCCCAUAAACAUAUUCAUUCAAGGGAGAGACCAUACCAUUGUGAUAUCUGUGGUCUAACAUUUUCUAGUAGUGGUCAUUUGAUUAACCACAAACGCAUCCACACUGAAGAAAGGCCAUACAACUGUGAUAUUUGUGAUAAAACAUUUUCUAGAAUUAGUGAAUUAUCUUCCCACAAACGUAUUCACAUGGGUGAAAGACAAUACCGCUGUCAUAUCUGUGACAAAAUAUUUUCUAACAGAACUGAUUUGUCUUCUCAUAAGCAUAUUCACUCAGGAGGACGAAUAUACCACUGUGAUAUCUGUGAUAAAACAUUCUCUCAAAGAGGUAUUUUAUCUCAACAUCAGCGCAUUCAUACAGGAGAGAAACCAUACCAGUGUGAUAUUUGCAAUAAAAAAUUUUCUUCAAAUAGUAAUUUGUCCUCCCACAAACGUACUCACACUGGCGAAAGACCCUACAGUUGUGAUUUCUGUGGUAAAAGUUUCCCUCGACGUGCACAUUUAUUUCAACACAAGAAUACGCACACAAGAGAAAAACAUUUUCAUUGUGAUAUUUGUAAUAAAAUGUUUUCUUCGGAACAGUAUUUCACUCGACACAAAUGUAUUCGUACAGAAGAGAAAUCACAUUCAUCUGGAGAAUUAUUCGAAAGAAAGGAUUUAAUUCAGCAUCAGUCAAUUCACUCAGUCUCAAAGCUAUAUAACUGUGAAGUUUGUGGAAAGACAUUUACAAGCAGUACUUUGUUGACUAGCCACAAAGAUAUCCACAAUGGAGAAAAAUUAUACCAAUGUUACAUGUGUGAUGAAAAGUUUUCAACAAAGGACAAUUUGUCAUCUCACACAUGUAUUCAAACGGCAGAAAGACCAUACCACUGUGAUAUCUGUGGUAAAACAUUUUCUAGAAGUGGUCAGUUGUCUUCCCAUAAAUAUAUUCAUUCAAGUGAGAGACCAUACCAUUGUGAUAUCUGUGGUCUAACAUUUUCUAGUAGUGGUCAUUUGAUUAACCACAAACGCAUCCACACUGAAGAAAGGCCAUACAACUGUGAUAUUUGUGAUAAAACAUUUUCUAGAAUUAGUGAAUUAUCUUCCCACAAACGUAUUCACUUGGGUGAAAGACAAUAUCGCUGUCAUAUCUGUAAUAAGAUAUUUUCUAAAAGAACUGAUUUGUCUUCUCAUAAACAUACUCACUCAGGAGGACGAAUAUACCACUGUGAUAUCUGUGAUACAACAUUCUCUCAAAGUGGAAGUUUGUCUCGACAUCAGCGCAUUCAUACAGGAGAGAAGCCAUACCAGUGUGAUAUUUGUAAGAAAAGAUUUUCUACUAGCAGUUGUUUGUCUGCCCACAAACGUACUCACACUGGAGAAAGACCGUACUGUUGUGAUAUCUGUGGUAAAAGUUUCACUCAGAGUGCACAUUUAUUUCAACACAAGCAUACUCAUUCAGGAGAAAGACAGUUCCAUUGUGAUAUUUGUGGUAAAAUGUUUUCUACAAAUCAAAAUUUAGCUCGACACAAAUGUAUUCGUACAGAAGAGAAAGCAUACCACUGUGAUAUCUGUGAUGAAACAUUUUCUACAAGAAGUCGCUUGUCUUCCCACAUACGUACUCACACUGGAGAAAGAUCAUUGUAACUCUGUGAUAAAACAUUUGCUAAAAUUGGGGGUUUUUUUUCUUUGCUCAUAUGUGUUCAGUCAAAAGAAAAACCAUCAUAGCACUGUGAUAUCGUAGUAAAAUAUUCUUACAAAAUGGUACUUUAUCUUUUUUUGUGCUGGUGAAAGACCAAAUCACUGGGAUAUCUAUAGUGAACAGGUAAUAGAAGUGGUGAUUUAACUUAUUAUCAGUGUAAUCACACAAGAGGUAAAUCAUGGCUAUGUGAGAUCUCAUCUUUGCCCACUUAAUCCUUGGAUUGUCAUGAAGGCAGAAUCCUCAAGCACACCCUCCAUUGGAUUCUGUCAGAAGCAGCUGUCUCCAAUUGAUCCAGUUGUGUCUCCUGCUAGUUGGGUUUGCUCACAAGACCUAUCCAACAAUUCUUUCCCAAGACAUUCUUACCACAUGUCUGUAGUAUCAGAGAAGAAGUGGCUCUACAAGAAGCACCACUCUAAUCUCUGAGCUAUGCACUCUAUUGAGUAAUGUUACUCCAAAGACCCUUUGGAGGAACCCCAGUUCAGCUGCUUGUAUUUGCAAUCAUAUUCUUUUGGUCUUUACCCAAGAUUUAUGAUCAUAGGUAAGAGUUGGCACAAACACAAAAUUGAAGAUAGCGAGUUUGGCUUUUACACCUACCUCUUUACAUCUGAUGACUGAAUGCUGAAGCUAGUGCAUUACUGCAUCAGCUCCUGCAAUUCUUGCAUUUAAUUCAGCCUCAUGGCCUCAAGAUUCUUAAAUUUCUCCUACUUCAGUGGAACCCUACUCAUAUGUAGAGUGCAUUGCACAGGCUUCCUUUAGGAGAUAAGUGUAUCAAUCUUUGCAGUACUGAUUUUCAUUCCUGCUGAGCAGCACUCGGCAGCAAACAUCAAAUGCAUGUUGGAGACCACCUUCUAAUGAGUUGAGUAGUACCAUGUUGUCUGCAAGUUCCAGCCAACUGAUCCUACACAUUCCCAGUCUGAAUGUUACUUCCAACCUCUCUGUAAAGAUUAUGAACAGGAAAGAUGACAGUAUGCACUUUGGUGAAGUUCAAUACCUAUAUGGAAUGGUUUCAACUUAUCACCAUUUAUCCAAACAAAAAUACUAGGAUAUUCAUAUAGGCUCUAUGUGAGAUCUAUGGUAAAAUAUUUUCUACAGAUAACAACAUAUUUUGUAAUACAAUAAUUUUUUUUUUUAAUCAAUGGUA